rnacentral:rRNA from 1 species
GACGAACGCUGGCGGCGUGCCUAAUACAUGCAAGUUGAGCGCUGAAGGUUGGUACUUGUACCAACUGGAUGAGCAGCGCACGGGUGAGUAACGCGUGGGGAAUCUGCCUUUGAGCGGGGGACAACAUUUGGAAACGAAUGCUAAUACCGCAUAAAAACUUUAAACACAAGUUUUAAGUUUGAAAGAUGCAAUUGCAUCACUCAAAGAUGAUCCCGCGUUGUAUUAGCUAGUUGGUGAGGUAAAGGCUCACCAAGGCGAUGAUACAUAGCCGACCUGAGAGGGUGAUCGGCCACAUUGGGACUGAGACACGGCCCAAACUCCUACGGGAGGCAGCAGUAGGGAAUCUUCGGCAAUGGACGAAAGUCAGACCGAGCAACGCCGCGUGAGUGAAGAAGGUUUUCGGAUCGUAAAACUCUGUUGGUAGAGAAGAACGUUGGUGAGAGUGGAAAGCUCAUCAAGUGACGGUAACUACCCAGAAAGGGACGGCUAACUACGUG